UACGUAGGGCGCAAGCGUUGUCCGGAAUUAUUGGGCGUAAAGAGCUCGUAGGCGGCUUGUCACGUCGGGUGUGAAAGCCCGGGGCUUAACCCCGGGUCUGCAUUCGAUACGGGCUAGCUAGAGUGUGGUAGGGGAGAUCGGGAUUCCUGGUGUAGCGGUGGAAUGCGCAGAUAUCAGGAGGAACACCGGUGGCGAAGGCGGAUCUCUGGGCCAUUACUGACGCUGAGGAGCGAAAGCGUGGGGAGCGAACAGG
rnacentral:rRNA from 1 species